CUCCCUUCUUACAUCUGCAUUCUGGAUGUUUCCUAUGCAAGCUCAUAGGCCCAGACCGAGCCAGCAGAGAGGCCGCCGGCCAUGGACACCUGCUCAGAAGACCCCCACCUGGGCAGAGCCUCCUGGCUCCUGGGAUUCACCAGCCUUCUCCUCAGCGUCUGCGGCGCUCUGACCCAGAGCUCCAGAGUCCAUGGUUCCGGAGUGGAGGAUUCUGGAAUCCCUGAUUCUCUGAAGAGGACGCAAGGAGAUUCUGUGUUGUUUCAUGUGAUCACAAGUCCGGAAUUACCCCCAGGAGUCGAGCUGGAGAAGAUGUUUUGGGGCAUUGCAUUAGGGUCCAACUGGACAGCCAUACUGCAGGUCAUUCCAGGGUCAGAUGUUCCAGAAUGGUUCAACUUCCAGGACAAGUUUGAGAAGAGAGUCCAUGUCCCCAACACAACGACCCUGAGGAUUGACAACCUGACCCUUGAGGACAGCGGGCUGUACCGGGCUCGAGUCAGCUACAGUAACGGAAUACAAACUGACCAGGAUUUCCACCUGACGGUCUAUGAGCCCAUGCCCCUUCCCCAGAUCUGGGCCACGGUUCCAUCCCUCGCACGAGGCUGGUGCAACGUCACCGUGGAGUGUGACACCACGGGAACUAGGGAGAACCUGACCGUGUCCUGGGAGAGCGAGGGCCUCCCCAGGGAGCUGGAGCAGAGACCGGCCUCGGGACCAGCCCCCAACCCCUGGACCCUGGCUGUGACCCUGCCCCUGACCCAGCCCAGUGCCAGCCUCACCUGUGUGGUCAGCAACCAGGUGGACCAGAAAACUGUCACCUGGGGCCUUGGGGACGUCUGUGGCCACGAAACAGGUCUACAUGGACAGGUCACCGCUGCCCUAUUACGAAACAUCCUAGGAUCUGUUGCGAUCGUGCUGCUGAUCCUGGGAGCUUGGCUGUAUCUUUGGAAGACACGUGGGGACGGGGCGCCUGGGUGGCACAGCGGUUAAGCGUCUGCCUUCGGCUCAGGGCGUGAUCCCAGCGUUAUGGGAUCGAGCCCCACAUCAGACUCCUCUGCUGGGAGCCUGCUUCUUCCUCUCCCACUCCCCCGUGCUUGUGUUCCCUCUUUCGCUGGCUGUCUCUAUCUCUGUCAAAUAAAUAAAUAAAAUCUUUAAAAAAAA
rnacentral:lncRNA from 1 species